rnacentral:lncRNA from 1 species
CUAUGAUCUGCUGUUGUUGUUUUCUGUUUUUUCUUCUUACAAUCCCUUAACUAUAUACUUGGGACUCUUUCCCUUGUGCAUUUUUAGCAUGCUGCAUGCAUUUGACGUAGUCAAACUGAGUGCUUGAGAUAAGUAUUUAAAGUAACAAAAUGAAUUUCCUCUUUUAUCUUUCAGACUUUGUGUAAUGACUGGGGGGAAAAGAAAAAAACCACAAGGAAAAAAGGCGAGCAGGUGAAAUGUUUUAUAUGAAGCCUAGAACUGUAAGGAAAUAUACUCUUAUGUAUUAUUUUCCGAUCACCAUAAUGUCAGUGGGGUGAAAGGCUUCAGAGUGGUUUACUUCUGAAGAAUCACUUGCCUGGAUUUCAGCAGCUGCCUUUGGGAAGAGCCUGGAACAACACAUCUGCUGACACCCCUGUGGUAAACAAAGGGAGGCAUUUUUUUCAAGCAGAUUUUGGUUUGGUGCAGUGCUUGGAACAAAACAAGAGCAAACAAAACCCAACAGCACUAAAUGCUGCACUCUUGCUGCAUGGUGGAAGUAACUUGAGGACUUUACUGAGAGUCUCAGCCUUCAGCCUCGCAAUACACCUUCUCUAACAUGAGGAUCGAUCAGCUUGCUUUCAUAGCCACAUAGGCCAAAGCUUAAGCUCCAAAUCAGAACUGCAGGGACUUAGAAUGCUCUUCCAAAGGUCAGAUCCUGCAGCCAGGCAAACUAAAACUCCACCUUGGUAGGACUGCAUCUACGCAAGGACUGCAGGGUGUGCAGAAACAUAGGAAAGCACAAAGCAGCCUCCUACAGCAAUGAAGGUGUG